rnacentral:rRNA from 1 species
CCUACGGGUGGCAGCAGUGGGGAAUAUUGGACAAUGGGCGAAAGCCUGAUCCAGCCAUGCCGCGUGUGUGAAGAAGGCCUUCGGGUUGUAAAGCACUUUCAGUGGGGAAGAAAGCCUUGGGGCUAAUACCCUCGAGGAAGGACAUCACCCACAGAAGAAGCACCGGCUAACUCCGUGCCAGCAGCCGCGGUAAUACGGAGGGUGCGAGCGUUAAUCGGAAUUACUGGGCGUAAAGCGCGCGUAGGCGGUCUGGUAAGCCGGUUGUGAAAGCCCCGGGCUCAACCUGGGAACGGCAUCCGGAACUGUCAGGCUAGAGUGCAGGAGAGGAAGGUAGAAUUCCCGGUGUAGCGGUGAAAUGCGUAGAGAUCGGGAGGAAUACCAGUGGCGAAGGCGGCCUUCUGGACUGACACUGACGCUGAGGUGCGAAAGCGUGGGUAGCAAACAGGAUUAGAUACCCUUGUAGUC